rfam:Gossypium arboreum cultivar AKA8401 contig_11405_3, whole genome shotgun sequence.
AACCCAUGGUAAGGGCACCUUGUCAAUAAGUCAUUGUAUCUCUCUCAUGCAUCGUAAAGUGUUUCUAAAUCCAUCUACACAAAAGAAGAGAUAUCAUUACGUAAUGUA